AGGGGGUGGGGGAAUUAUGAUUUAAACGGGGAUGCGCAGUGUUACACUUAGAGUUGUGAUGCGCUUUGACUUUUGAAAAGUGAAGACGUUGAAGACCGACUUUGAAAGAUAUUCUGUGGAUAUUACGGAGUUAACAGAAGACUGAGAUGGAGGAACAUGAAGAACAGGACGGCAGUCGUCAGGUGUAGGCAAAUUAUUUAUAGACAGGACAGAGGACGGAACUCAGAUGAAUCUCCGGAAAGAACUGAACAUCGCAGAGAAUGUGGAACUGCACGAAGGUUUUUAACGACGCCUCGCUUCGAUGUCCCGACAUAAACUUGGAAACCGACAUCAAGCACUAUCUAUGGCUGCUGUGGCACGGAAGCAGUGUGGUGUGUAGGUCUUAAUGCACUUUGACGACUUAUCGGCCAUACAUCCUGUGAACGACCUUUUUGCUAAAGCCUAAUGUCAUCGUCUAGCAGUAGGUACAAUUCCGCAUCACCGAUGACCAGGGUGAAGUUGUAGCAGACGAAAUUUUAGACAUACAUUAGGCCUAGUAGGCUAGUAACUAAAGACAUUGUUUACAGUUAUGCUUUUAUCAAUUAUUGAUGAAAGUCCACUGCUUGGAAUACAAAUAAAACCGUAAAUACAUUU